UUUGCUAUGUGCUUGAAGCUAAUCAUUCCCUGUUCUUGUCAAUCAUGUGGAUCAUUCUCACUCAAAAUUCCCACCAAUGGAAAUUGAGGAAAUAUUGUAAGCAACACUACAGAGCGAGCUAGAUGUCGUUAAAGAAAUAGUGGUUAGCACUUCUAUUAAACAAAUACUAAUGUUAUCGUCUGUAUGAAAACCAAAAAGGAACAUCAUCAUACCUUAACAUCCGGUGACUAAUGAUCUAGUGUCGUCAAAGCAAAUGGAAUUAUUAACCACCACAACUCGCCAAGCUUCGGGUAAUUAACCUGAAACAAUCGAAGAAGCA
rnacentral:lncRNA from 1 species